GGCCUCCCAAUUCUUACCAUAGGCUGUGUUUACACUGACUGUAUAGAAAGAGUUAAAAAAAAAGUAAAUGCACCCCAUAUACACCUCAACAGAGGCCCUUUGCCUCUCUGUAUUGUGAAUUGGGGGACAAAA